AACGAACGCUGGCGGCAGGCUUAACACAUGCAAGUCGAACGGUUGUAGCAAUACAGCAGUGGCAGACGGGUGAGUAACACGUGGGAACCUUCCUAGAGGUACGGAACAACGCAGGGAAACUUGCGCUAAUACCGUAUACGCUCGUGAGAGGAAAGAUUUAUCGCCUUUAGACGGGCCCGCGUAGGGUUAGGGAGUUGGUGGGGUAACGGCCUACCAAGCCGACGAUCCGUAGCUGAUCUGAGAGGAUGAUCAGCCACACUGGGACUGAGACACGGCCCCGACUCCUACGGGAGGCAGCAGUGGGGAAUCUUGGACAAUGGGCGCAAGCCUGAGCCAGCCAUGCCGCGUGAGUGAAGAAGGCCUUAGGGUUGUAAAGCCCUUUUGCCAGGGACGAUAAUGACGGUACCUGGAGAAUAAGCCCCAGCAAACUUCGUGCCAGCCGCCGCAGUAAAAC
rnacentral:rRNA from 1 species